UCGAGACGAGUGAAGCGGCAACAGCUCAAAUUUGAAAUCUGGCCCCAGGCCCGAGUUGUAAUUUGCAGAGGAUGCUUUUGGCGCGGUGCCUUCCGAGUUCCCUGGAACGGGACGCCAUAGAGGGUGAGAGCCCCGUACGGUUGGACACCAAGCCUUUGUAAAGCUCCUUCGACGAGUCGAGUAGUUUGGGAAUGCUGCUCUAAAUGGGAGGUACAUUUCUUCUAAAGCUAAAUAUUGGCCAGAGACCGAUAGCGCACAAGUAGAGUGAUCGAAAGAUGAAAAGCACUUUGAAAAGAGGGUUAAACAGCACGUGAAAUUGUUAAAAGGGAAGCGCUUGUGACCAGACUUGCGUCCGGUGAAUCACCCAGCUCUCGCGGCUGGGGCACUUCGCCGGCACAGGCCAGCAUCAGCUUGCCGUCGGGGACAAAAGCUUCAGGAACGUGGCUCCUCUCGGGGAGUGUUAUAGCCUGUUGUAUAAUACCCUUCGGCGGGCUGAGGUACGCGCUCCGCAAGGAUGCUGGCGUAAUGGUCAUCAGCGACCCGUCUUGAAACCACGGACCAAAU
rnacentral:rRNA from 1 species